UACAAUGGCGUAAACAGAGGGAAGCGAGCCGCGAGGGGAGCGAAUCCCAAAAAUAACGUCCCAGUUCGGAUUGUAGUCUGCAACCCGACUACAUGAAGCCGGAAUCGCUAGUAAUCGCGGAUCAGAAUGCCGCGGUGAAUACGUUCCCGGGUCUUGUACACACCGCCCGUCACACCAUGGGAGUCAGUAACGCCCGAAGCCGGUGACCCAACCGAGUCCGGAGGGAGCCGUCGAAGGUGGGACCGAUAACUGGGGUGAAGUCGUAACAAGGUAUC
rnacentral:rRNA from 1 species